UACGGAGGGGACUAGCGUUGUUCGGAAUUACUGGGCGUAAAGCGCACGUAGGCGGAUUUGUAAGUCAGGGGUGAAAUCCCGGGGCUCAACCUCGGAACUGCCUUUGAUACUGCGAAUCUCGAGUCCGGAAGAGGUGAGUGGAAUUCCUAGUGUAGAGGUGAAAUUCGUAGAUAUUAGGAAGAACACCAGUGGCGAAGGCGGCUCACUGGUCCGGUACUGACGCUGAGGUGCGAAAGCGUG
rnacentral:rRNA from 1 species